rnacentral:rRNA from 1 species
GAUGAACGCUGGCGGCGUGCCUAAUACAUGCAAGUCGAGCGAACAGACGAGGAGCUUGCUCCUCUGACGUUAGCGGCGGACGGGUGAGUAACACGUGGAUAACCUACCUAUAAGACUGGGAUAACUUCGGGAAACCGGAGCUAAUACCGGAUAAUAUAUUGAACCGCAUGGUUCAAUAGUGAAAGACGGUUUUGCUGUCACUUAUAGAUGGAUCCGCGCCGCAUUAGCUAGUUGGUAAGGUAACGGCUUACCAAGGCAACGAUGCGUAGCCGACCUGAGAGGGUGAUCGGCCACACUGGAGCUGAGACACGGUCCAGACUCCUACGGGAGGCAGCAGUAGGGAAUCUUCCGCAAUGGGCGAAAGCCUGACGGAGCAACGCCGCGUGAGUGAUGAAGGUCUUCGGAUCGUAAAACUCUGUUAUUAGGGAAGAACAAAUGUGUAAGUAACUAUGCACGUCUUGACGGUACCUAAUCAGGAAGCCACGGCUAACUACGUG